UUGGAGGGCAAGUCUGGUGCCAGCAGCCGCGGUAAUUCCAGCUCCAAUAGCGUAUAUUAAAGUUGUUGCAGUUAAAAAGCUCGUAGUUGAAUUUCGGGAUCAAAUUGUUGGUCGUGCCUCGGUACGCACUGGUAUUAUUGGUUCCUACCUUCUGAAGAACCGCGAUGUCAUUAAUUUGGUGUCGUGGGGAAUCAGGACUGUUACUUUGAAAAAAUUAGAGUGUUUAAAGCAGGCUUACGCUUGAAUACAUUAGCAUGGAAUAAUGAAAUAGGACGUUUGAUUCUAUUUUGUUGGUUUCUAGGAUUGACGUAAUGAUUAAUAGGGAUAGUUGGGGGCAUUAGUAUUCAAUUGUCAGAGGUGAAAUUCUUGGAUUUAUUGAAGACUAACUACUGCGAAAGCAUUUGCCAAGGGUGUUUUCAUUAAUCAAGAACGAAAGUUAGGGGAUCGAAGACGAUCAGAUACCGUCGUAGUCUUAACCAUAAACUAUGCCGACUAGGGAUCGGAUGAUGUUAAUUUUUUAAUGACUCAUUCGGCGCCUUACGGGAAAC
rnacentral:rRNA from 1 species